GACUAAAUUGAAACUGUUGCGUAUUAUUAUCGUUACAUGUGAAUGCUGCCAGCAUAUGCGGGACUUUUAGACUGUGCGUGUGUGUGUGUGUGUGUGUGUAUCUGUGUGUGAACGCGACAAAGCAAUUGCAAAGCAGCGCAUUCUGGGCACAGAGCCAAAAAUAAUAAAAUCACAAUUUUAUGCCAGACAACUCAAUGUAACUGCAGCCAGCCAAAGGAUCCCAAGGAUCGUCCAAGCGCUCGCCGCGCUCUGUGGCCAAAGAUAACGAGGUGGACGGCGACGAAGUCAGCGUGAAGCAGAAUAAAUGCAAUCGAAAGUUUAAGGCAACAAUCAGAGAAAAGAAAAUAACCUCACUAACCAAACAGCAGUCAAAUAGAAACUGCACAUAAAAGUAAAAGAAAUUUAAUUUAUUAAUAACAGAGAGCAUAAGGCAAGGAUAACACG
rnacentral:sRNA from 1 species